CCUGAUGGAGGGGGAUAACUACUGGAAACGGUAGCUAAUACCGCAUAACGUCGCAAGACCAAAGAGGGGGACCUUCGGGCCUCUUGCCAUCAGAUGUGCCCAGAUGGGAUUAGCUAGUAGGUGGGGUAACGGCUCACCUAGGCGACGAUCCCUAGCUGGUCUGAGAGGAUGACCAGCCACACUGGAACUGAGACACGGUCCAGACUCCUACGGGAGGCAGCAGUGGGGAAUAUUGCACAAUGGGCGCAAGCCUGAUGCAGCCAUGCCGCGUGUAUGAAGAAGGCCUUCGGGUUGUAAAGUACUUUCAGCGGGGAGGAAGGGAGUAAAGUUAAUACCUUUGCUCAUUGACGUUACCCGCAGAAGAAGCACCGGCUAACUCCGUGCCAGCAGCCGCGGUAAUACGGAGGGUGCAAGCGUUAAUCGGAAUUACUGGGCGUAAAGCGCACGCAGGCGGUUUGUUAAGUCAGAUGUGAAAUCCCCGGGCUCAACCUGGGAACUGCAUCUGAUACUGGCAAGCCUGAGUCUCGUAGAGGGGGGUAGAAUUCCAGGUGUAGCGGUGAAAUGCGUAGAGAUCUGGAGGAAUACCGGUGGCGAA
rnacentral:rRNA from 1 species